ACAUCACGUUGAAAUACCAGUUCCCGUACGUUCACCAAAGUUAAGCAACAUCGAGCCUGGUCCGUACGUAGAUGGGUGACCCCUUAGGAAUACCAGGUGUU